CAUGGAAAACUGGGCAAAACCACGUACGAGGCACACACACGUACACGGACCCUUACACGGACCCGUGAACGGGCUGUACGUGGAUACGUGAAAAAAACGGCCGACGCCCGUCGUGGACGGAACGUGACGCGCGCCAUGGAAAACUGGGCAAAACC
rnacentral:misc_RNA from 1 species